GCCCGUGUGGAUCAAUCGGGCCGCGCACUGGACUCACAACCCAGAGGUCGCCGGUUCGAAUCCCGCGGCGGGCG
rnacentral:tRNA from 1 species